GGUGGUUCUCGGGUGACGCACCUGGAAUCAGGCUCCCUCCUCUCUGGUUCUGGGUGCGGCACCUGAGAACCGCA
rfam:Myotis lucifugus cont2.27405, whole genome shotgun sequence.